rnacentral:rRNA from 1 species
AGAUUGAACGCUAGCGGGAUGCUUUACACAUGCAAGUCGAACGGCAGCGCGGACUUCGGUCUGGCGGCGAGUGGCGAACGGGUGAGUAAUAUAUCGGAACGUGCCCAGUAGCGGGGGAUAACUACGCGAAAGCGUGGCUAAUACCGCAUACGCCCUACGGGGGGAAAGGGGGGAUUCUUCGGAACCUCUCACUAUUGGAGCGGCCGAUAUCAGAUUAGCUAGUUGGUGAGGUAAAGGCUCACCAAGGCGACGAUCUGUAGCUGGUUUGAGAGGACGACCAGCCACACGUGGGACUGAGACACGGCCCAGACUCCUACGGGAGGCAGCGAGUGGGAAUUUGGACAAGUGGGGGAAACCCUGACUCCAGCCAUCCCGCGUGUGCGAGUGAGGCCGUUCGGUUGUAAGCGUACGUUU